CUCAUAUUGAAACCUAGUGAUGUAUGAGUUAGUGGCGGACGGGUGAGUAACGCGUGGAGAACCUGCCGUAUACUGGGGGAUAACACUUAGAAAUAGGUGCUAAUACCGCAUAAGCGCACAGCUUCGCAUGAAGCAGUGUGAAAAACUCCGGUGGUAUACGAUGGAUCCGCGUCUGAUUAGCUUGUUGGCGGGGUAAAGGCCCACCAAGGCGACGAUCAGUAGCCGGCCUGAGAGGGUGAACGGCCACAUUGGGACUGAGACACGGCCCAAACUCCUACGGGAGGCAGCAGUGGGGAAUAUUGCACAAUGGGGGAAACCCUGAUGCAGCGACGCCGCGUGAGUGAAGAAGUAUUUCGGUACGUAAAGCUCUAUCAGCAGGGAAGAAAAUGACGGUACCUGACUAAGAAGCCCCGGCUAACUACGUGCCAGCAGCCGCGGUAAUACGUAGGGGGCAAGCGUUAUCCGGAUUUACUGGGUGUAAAGGGAGCGUAGACGGCAGCGCAAGUCUGGAGUGAAAUCCCAUGGCUUAACCAUGGAACUGCUUUGGAAACUGUGCAGCUGGAGUGCAGGAGAGGUAAGCGGAAUUCCUAGUGUAGCGGUGAAAUGCGUAGAUAUUAGGAGGAACACCAGUGGCGAAGGCGGCUUACUGGACUGUAACUGACGUUGAGGCUCGAAAGCGUGGGGAGCAAACAGGAUUAGAUACCCUGGUAGUCCACGCUGUAAACGAUGAUUACUAGGUGUUGGGGGACCAAGGUCCUUCGGUGCCGUCGCAAACGCAUUAA
rnacentral:rRNA from 1 species